rnacentral:tmRNA from 1 species
GGGGGCGUACUGGUUUCGACGGGGGAAUAGAUGGGUUGAGUAGCGAGCCGAGUUGUCGCCAGCUCGAUAAAAAGGCGAAAAAACAAUAACUGCCGAAGAUAACUUCGCACUAGCCGCUUAAGCGGCUCGUCCGGCCAGGUUUCC